rnacentral:rRNA from 1 species
GAUGAACGCUGGCGGCGUGCUUAACACAUGCAAGUCGAACGAGAAGUGAAGACGGAACCCUUCGGGCGGAAGGCUUUAUUUCGAGUGGCGGACGGGUGAGUAACGCGUGGGUAACCUGCCUCAUACAGGGGGAUAACAGUUGGAAACGACUGUUAAUACCGCAUAAGACCACAGCACCGCAUGGUGCGGGGGUAAAAACUCCGGUGGUAUGAGAUGGACCCGCGUUCGAUUAGCCAGUUGGCGGGGUAACGGCCCACCAAAGCGACGAUCGAUAGCCGAUCUGAGAGGAUGACCGGCCACAUUGGGACUGAGACACGGCCCAAACUCCUACGGGAGGCAGCAGUGGGGAAUAUUGCACAAUGGGGGAAACCCUGAUGCAGCGACGCCGCGUGAGUGAUGAAGUAUUUCGGUAUGUAAAGCUCUAUCAGCAGGGAAGAAAAUGACGGUACCUGAGUAAGAAGCCCCGGCUAACUACGUG